rnacentral:misc_RNA from 1 species
AACAACUAAACAAAUAAAAUGUGAGAGAAGAUCUCUCAUAAAGUAUAUGCUCCCUGCAGCAGUCACAGCUAUCUGUGAGCUGUAGAGUUGUUAACUGCCUUAU